AUGCUGGACUUGUCAGGACAACUGGAGAGCGCUGAAGCCGAGAGGAGGUCCCUGCUGGGUGAGAGUCAGAAGCUCACAGAGGAGAAGGAGGAGCUGCUGCGCAGAGUGACGUCUCUGAAGGAGGACAAGGAGCUGCUGGGAGCUCAGCUGGACGAGGAGAAGGAGAAGAUGUGGGACCUGCAGCAGAAGCUGAGCCGGCAGGAGCAGCUGGAGGCGCAGCGGAUCUUAGAGCGAGAGCAGGAGAGCCAGCAGUACCGAGAGCUGCUGAUUGAAACGAACAGAAACAUCUCCGCCCUCAAAGAGCAGCUGUUCGUUCUGGAGCAGAAGAGCAGAGAAAAGGAGGAGGAGAAGCAGGAGGGGGCGCCAUCUCGUCUGCAGGAGUCCAGACUUCUCCUUCAGGAGACUUUUGGGAAACUGGAGGAGUUCAUUAACACCUGCAGGGGGCGCUUCUCUGUCCCUCUGGACCCGGCUCUGAGGAGUGGGUGUUCCCUCAUCCACCCGUACAUCAGCUCUCUUCCAGAGGCCAGUGUGGCUGUGUACAUGUCCAUGCAGCAGGAGGGGCUGCAGAGCGUUCAGAGGCUGCAGAGCGUUCAGAUGCAGCUGCAAGCGCGAGCGGUCGCCUACAGGAGACUGCUGGAGGUGCUGGUGAAGAAGGAGGAGGCGGUGUAUGAGGAGCUGCGGCUGCAGGACCUGCUGCUGUGCAGGAUGCAGGAGCCCGACUGCGACCUGCAGACUCUGUGGGAGCGCAGACUGAGCGAGCUGCUGGACAAACAGCGGCUCUACCAGCAGGUGAGCCCGGCGUCUAUUGAGUCCAGUGUUUAUUCCAUCUCAGACAGAAUAGUGGUGGUCCAUGGGUUCAUUUUGCAGUGAAACUUGAUCAAGAAAUACAGAUGACACCAGAUGAACAUUUCCGGAUUGAAAUUAUGAGAACAUACUGUAGGUGCGUCCACUGAUUGUCACGAGGUUUGCAGUCUCGCACUCCCAGCAUGAUGUGGCCGUGUUAAGCAUCCCAGACGAGAAAUCUCACAGAAACACUGCAAACUUUAUGACACCACAUUAUUGUUCAUUCCUGUUUCAUCCAUCCAUUUAUUGAAGUUUGUUCCACAACUCCUUGGACUUCCUGUAGUCUUGCCACUUCUCGCUUUUCACCCAAAAAUACAAUAAACUGCUUGAAUUUUGUUACAUCUGCUUUUGUAAAAUGCGAUUUCCCUUGAUUAGAUGUUUUUCUGGUAGCACUCCAGCUGCCGGCUGGUUAAACUGUUGCAAAUCCAGGCAUGUCAAACCAAGCAGAUGUUUUUCACCUUCCUUAAUUUCUUCUUGUCAAUCACUUGUUCUAGAGCAACAGCUGAUGGGUUUUCACAAAUAUGUCAAUGUUUCUUUUCUCAUUCAAGCAUCCUCAAUCUCCUUAUAAAAAUCAUCUUUGCA
rnacentral:lncRNA from 1 species